GACGAACGCUGGCGGCGCGCUUAACACAUGCAAGUCGAGCGAUGAAACUUUAACAGAACCCUUCGGGGCGAAGAUAAAGUGGAUUAGCGGCGGACGGGUGAGUAACACGUGAGUAACCUGCCUUAGACGUUGGGAUAGCCUCGCGAAACCGGGAUUAAUACCAAAUAAAAUCAUAAUGACACAUGUCAUAACGAUCAAAACUCCGGUGGUCUAAGAUGGACUCGCGUCCCAUUAGCUAGUUGGUAGAGUAAAAGCCUACCAAGGCGACGAUGGGUAGCCGGCCUGAGAGGGUGAACGGCCACAUUGGAACUGAGAAACGGUCCAAACUCCUACGGGAGGCAGCAGUGGGGAAUAUUGCACAAUGGAGGGAACUCUGAUGCAGCGACGCCGCGUGAACGAAGAAGGCUUUCGAGUCGUAAAGUUCUUUUAUAUGGGAAGAUAAUGACGGUACCAUAAGAAAAAGCCCCGGCUAACUACGUG
rnacentral:rRNA from 1 species